GAUGAACGCUAGCGGCAGGCCUAACACAUGCAGGUCGAGGGGUAGAAGGAGCUUGCUCCUUUGAGACCGGCGCACGGGUGCGUAACGCGUAUGCAAUCUACCUUGUACAGGGGAAUAGCCCAGAGAAAUUUGGAUUAAUGCCCCAUAGUAUAUAACCUUCGCAUGUUGGUUAUAUUAAAGUUCCAACGGUACAAGAUGAGCAUGCGUCCCAUUAGUUAGUUGGUAAGGUAACGGCUUACCAAGACGAUGAUGGGUAGGGGUCCUGAGAGGGAGAUCCCCCACACUGGUACUGAGACACGGACCAGACUCCUACGGGAGGCAGCAGUGAGGAAUAUUGGUCAAUGGUGGCAAGACUGAACCAGCCAUGCCGCGUGCAGGAAGACGGUCCUAUGGAUUGUAAACUGCUUUUAUACAGGAAGAAACCCUCCCACGUGUGGGAGCUUGACGGUACUGUAGGAAUAAGGAUCGGCUAACUCCGUG
rnacentral:rRNA from 1 species